UACGUAGGGUGCAAGCGUUGUCCGGAAUUAUUGGGCGUAAAGAGCUCGUAGGCGGUCUGUCACGUCGGCUGUGAAAACCCGAGGCUCAACCUCGGGCCUGCAGUCGAUACGGGCAAACUAGAGUACUGCAGGGGAGACUGGAAUUCCUGGUGUAGCGGUGAAAUGCGCAGAUAUCAGGAGGAACACCGGUGACGAAGGCGGGUCUCUGGACAGUAACUGACGCUGAGGAGCGAAAGCGUGGGGAGCGAACAGG
rnacentral:rRNA from 1 species